rnacentral:tRNA from 1 species
AAAUAAGAAGCAUAAUUGCAUUCAGUUUCGACCUGAAAGUAAGAUUUUUUAAUCCUUAUUUA